CAAUCAUUCUGCCUUGACCUCUCAAUGUGCUGGGACUAAAGGUAGGGUAUGGGAUAUUUGAUCAGCAAAAUUAACUAGCUCAUGAGUUUGAAAGGCAGUCCAACUGGGGCACUGUCCCUUUGUUACACAUGCCAGUUCUUCGUCUUAUCCAUUUACGAAGUUUUAGUUAAGGAGAGCAUCAUUUUGGAGAAGAAUGAAGACUUGAUUGAGGACCCAAAGGAUGACCAAGAAGAGGUACAGGAGAAAACCCAGAAUUCUGCAGGGUCUUGGCGAUGCAAGUGUCAGAGCCAUUUGAACCAGAGCUACUCCAUCUUGAGUGAGGGCUAAGAAAACUGAGGCUGGGACUUGCUGGGCUGCAUUCCCAGGAGGGUAAGUAUUCCUAGCCUCUAGGUUAACGGAACAGAUUAAUAACGUUUACUAACAGACCCAGACUCAGGAAUGUCCUGAUAUCCUGAUGUCUUAAAAACAAAAGCACUCCUAAUUUUGCUUUAAAGAUAAAUAUCGAUCCUUGCAAAAUAUAGUAAUUAAGAAAACUAAUUGUUUAAAUCACAAACCUUUGUAGUAGAGCAAAUCUCCCCAUUUUUUUGUUAUCCUAUAUAUAAAUAAGCAUUGUACCUAGGGGUAGGCGCGUUCCUCCUCUUACUUUCAGGAACGCCCUACUCUGUCUAUAGAGUAGCUAUUCCUUCACCACUUUACUUCCUUAAUAAAUUUGCUUUUGCUUUGCACUGUGGACU
rnacentral:lncRNA from 1 species